UUUAAUUCAAGACUUUGAUUUUGGCAUCGGAUGUACUAAGGAGGAGUUUAAAGAUAGCUAUCCAAAGAGAGAUGAUGAUUGGUAGAGGUCGUAAGUGAAUAAGAAUUCGAUGAGUGAAUAAACGGAGAAGAGUAUGCUUGUUGCAAUGCAAGAUGAUGAGGAACAUCGAUAGAUGGAUUAUGGGCAAAUUGAAGAUGUCGUUUGGAAUCAACGGGAUAGAGG
rnacentral:lncRNA from 1 species